ensembl:lncRNA
GGUCUCUAUGGUGCAGUGUAUGUUACGCAACACGAGACGAUGCAGCUGACCCUGUUUCCUGUGUUGCUUUUUGGUAUGCAGUGGAUGGCCACCACAUUAGCAGGCAUUGGACCUCGACCGGACUGUGGCGUAAGGACAAGAAAAGUACAUACCAGUCACCCAAAUUUUGGGCUAAGUGCAACAGGAUCCAGCACUGUGUGCCAUCAGAGCUGUAAGAGCAACUGGGCCAAAUAUGCAAUGUGUGCAGUGGACAAAAGACAAAGCACCAGCAGAGCAGAUCUGAGCUGUAGAGGGCUACAAACUGUAAACUGGACAACCCACUACUCCACCAAUACCAGCAACAAGGACAAAUACAGCGGGCACACAGCCACAACCUACUCACUGAUGAAGAAAUCACCAUCCCUCAGUGAAAGGAAUAGUGGGUCAUUUGCUCAUAUCCAAGAGAAAGGCACACAAUCUUCAACCAUUAAUGACCAGCCUCCAAUCAAGAACAGCAGUUUUUAAGCAAUUAAGCAUUUUCCACAGAUUUUCAGUGAUGUUUAAGACAGGGGCUGGGAGAGCUAGUCCAAAAGCUUCAGCUUAUGCUUCUUGAAGAAGUAGUUUUUGAGAUGUGUUUUGGGUCAUUGUCCUGGUGUUGCCAGCAGGAAAAGAUGCCAGCCUCUUUUCAGCUUUAGCUUUUGAAUCACGUUCAUCGAGUCCAGGCUUCCAUGCCACCUGAGCAGUUUUAGAGCCACAAAAAUCUAAAGUUGACAAGGUGUUCUUUACAUCAAAUGCUGCUCCUUUUUCUUCUAAAAUACAUCUGGCUUAUCUAGAUGUUUUGUGAACUUUAGACAUUGAGGUUUGGGAUGAGGUCACAGGUAAGGUGUCCUUCAAGCUGUAGGAGUCCAUAGCUGUCAAAUGAAAAUUCAUUACACUCUGGAAAUGUCACCAGCUGGCAAUUCCUGAUGCACUUCUUGGCAUUCUUAACCAGUCCCCACUAGUCAAUUAAAGCCUAACAAGUUCAUUCUGAGACGUUUCCAAAUGUUUGCACAUUCCACAAUUGCGAUUCUCAAUUUUAUAUUUUUUACUUCUCUUGAAAAACCAAAAAUGUAAUAUUGCCAGGCGUGACCAAACGUCGGCAUACAACUGUAUAAUUGAUUUGUUUAAUCAAAGUAACACUAAAAUGCGACUGUUGUGUAAAUUCAUGCAUGUUCUUUUCAAAAAUGUACUUUGUGAGAAAACACAUUAAUAAGUCAUUCAAGGCAACUUGGUCAUUGGCUCAACAUUGUAAGUGGCUUAACUCUGUUUAAACAUGUAUACAAAGUUCUGUUAAUAAACUCAGAUACGCAAGAUGAGGACAUACUUCACUUCACACGCACACUUUCUAAGCUGCUUAUCCUCCUGGGUCAUUGGGGUAAGGCAGGAAAUACUGUAGACAGGUCGCCAGUACAUCACAGAGCAGACAUACAGAUGUAUACAUUUACACCUGGGGCCAAUUUAGCAUCUCCAGUUAGCCUGGAGCCAUGGGGAGCUGGGGAACUGAAACCAAGCCCUUCUUGCUGUGACAGCACCCUUAUUUUCACUCAUUUACAGUAAAAAAAAAAAGCUUGCCUACACAGCAAGCUUGCUACCAUCAACUGAUUCCCAGCUUUAGAGCCAUAAUAGUCUGAAUAACAAAUGUAGUAAAAAAAAGUUAGUAAUGUAUAAAGUAUAAAAAAGUUAUAUCAUUAUUUCUUAAUUUAACAAUUGAACAAAGCAUCAUCUCACAGCAAGAUGUGUCCAUGUGUUCAUGCAUGCGUGUCUGGGUUCAGCAUUUGGCCGUCCGUCUCACCCCCAGUGUUUCAACCAAACUUGUACCAAUGAGUUUGGUGAACCAUGAGUGCAGAAGCAUGCCAAAGCAUUUCUAGUUGUGAUGUGGGCCAAUACCUUCUAAAACAUCAUGCUUCAAAUCACGCUCUUUGUCUGAAAGGAACCU